rnacentral:rRNA from 1 species
UCCUACGGGGCGCAGCAGUAGGGAAUAUUGGUCAAUGGAUGCAAGUCUGAACCAGCCAUGCCGCGUGCAGGAAGAAGGCCUUCUGGGUUGUAAACUGCUUUUGCCAGGGGAUAAAAAGACCUUGCGAGGUUAAUUGAAGGUACCUGGUGAAUAAGCCACGGCUAACUACGUGCCAGCAGCCGCGGUAAUACGUAGGUGGCAAGCGUUGUCCGGAUAUAUUGGGUUUAAAGGGUGCGUAGGCGGCCCUGUAAGUCAGUGGUGAAAUAUCGCAGCUUAACUGUGAGGGUGCCAUUGAUACUGCAGGGCUUGAGUAAAGUCGAGGUAGGCGGAAUUGACGGUGUAGCGGUGAAAUGCUUAGAUAUCGUCAAGAACACCGAUAGUGAAGACAGCUUACUAGGCUUUAACUGACGCUGAGGCACGAAAGUGUGGGGAUCAAACAGGAUUAGAAACCCCGGUAGUCCC